UGAGGAAUAUUGGUCAAUGGAGGAAACUCUGAACCAGCCAAGUCGCGUGAAGGAUGACGGUCCUAUGGAUUGUAAACUUCUUUAGUAGGCGAGUAAGGAUAGGUACGUGUACCUAUUAGAAAGUAGCCUAAGAAUAAGUAUCGGCUAACUCCGUGCCAGCAGCCGCGGUAAUACGGAGGAUACGAGCGUUAUCCGGAUUUAUUGGGUUUAAAGGGUGCGUAGGCCGUUUGGUAAGCGUGUUGUGAAAUGUAGGAGCUCAACUUCUAGAUUGCAGCGCGAACUGUCAGACUUGAGUGCGCACAACGUAGGCGGAAUUCAUGGUGUAGCGGUGAAAUGCUUAGAUAUCAUGAAGAACUCCGAUUGCGAAGGCAGCUUACGGGAGCGCAACUGACGCUGAAGCUCGAAGGUGCGGGUAUCGAACAGG
rnacentral:rRNA from 1 species